rnacentral:lncRNA from 1 species
AUGGGAUGCACCCCUCUUUCAGAGGGGUCUGCAGGAGAAUACAGCAGUGAUCCCAGUGCUUUCGAAUUGAGGCUGCUGGAUGCUCUAGAUCUGCUUACAUCAGACCCCAUCUGCCAGGACCACACGCUGGUCCUGACCAACAGUGAGAGCAGAGACACGAAGGAGUGCCUAUCAAGGUUAAUGGAGACUCAGCCCCUUUUUUGCUGGGGAGCCAUUAGGAUUUGCACAGAGGAGAGGAAAUGAGAAGACCGAGCUCAGCGCUGGCAUCCCCGCCUUGGUGCACAAUCCACUGAAUGGAGUUUGGCAAGACUCGGAGAAGAACCAUAUGCUUGAAAGCAGGACAUGGAACAUUUGAUAAAUAUUAUUAUUAUAAUGUGUUACUAUUAUAAUUCAGUACCCUAAAAGGAAAAGUAAGGUGUGAUUUGAUCGUGAUCUGUAAGUCUCUGUCUGAGGAACAAACCUUCUUUUUGUUGGGCUCUUCUGUUUAGCAGACAAAGUGCAGGAGUCCAUGAAGGAAGCUGAACACAGACAUAUCUAUCCGUGACAGUAAUUAACAUUGGCACCACUUACUACGUUUCCUUUGGAUCCUCAGAGUACAGCUAUGAGCAAAUCAAAGCAGGAUAUGUUUUGAAAGAGGUUUGCUUUGAUUUAAAUAGAAUUUAGAGAAGUCCAGUGGCCUCAAUGAUACAGCGCUCCAACUCAGAUGAUUGCUUGUCCUGUUUGGCUUUAAAACCUGUAACACAUUAUUAUGCCCCAGUUAAUAGAUGGCAAACUGAAGACCAAAGAAGAUGUGCCCGAGGUCAUACAAGGUUGGGAGACUCAAAGGGAAUGAAAAACAUCUGGUAACUGCAUGUUGUAGUGAAUCAGUGCUGGAGAGUGUCACUGAGAGUGGUCAGCCAGAGAAGCAGAGGUCUUUGAGUGGUCGUCUUUGAGGUGUUCGCUCCUGCAGGAGACAGCUUGGUAGCAUGUGCAGGUAUUUAUAGUGCAGUAUUCACUGAGAAGUGAACACAGAUCAAACCCAGUGGGGCACUGCUGGCUCACUUUUCACUCUUCUGGGGCAAUGCUGUGGCUCACCUUGUGGGGUGUGAGGGCACGCUGAGCAGGACUAACUCCUGGGCUGCUCAGCAAGCGACCCGAGCAGCAACAACUCUUCCUCUUCUCACGUAGCUGAGACAGGUCUAAGUAGUCAGUCGGGGGUGGAGGUGGGACAUUCGCAGGGAAGCUGGCAUGCAGGAAGCACCAUCGCAGCGUGAUGGGACUGACUCAGAUUUCUUCUUCCUGGAGUUGACAGUGUUCAGUCCCUGACCUGUUCACAGCCAUGCCAUGCCCUGUGCAAUAAUCUGGGUCCCAGUGAGUCACUAUACAGCAAGGCUUCGACCUUUGUGUUUAGAAUAGUUUCUCUUUUUGCCGAAAGGGCAAAUACUUCCAAGGGAGUUUUCUUCCCAUCUGUGGGCCUGGUGUGCACGUAACGUACUUUUCAUCUUAAGAGCAAAGUGUUUUUGCAGAGACAAUUGAAUGAAAUUAAGAAUGGCACAUCAUGAUCAUUUAUAUCAUGUGUAUCUCAGAAAGUUCAUCAAUUCAUAUUACAUUAGGGAAUAUGUAAACUAAAUGUGCACUCAUUUGGCAUAGUCCUCAGAGCAAUUAUUCUUCAGUUGAUUUAGUACACUUGAUAAAAAUAAAGGUUAAGGAGGAUGUU